GCCGGGGUGGCGGAAUUGGCAGACGCGCACGUUUGAGGGGCGUGUGGGUUUAUCCCGUAGGGGUUCAAAUCCCCUCCCCGGCA
rnacentral:tRNA from 1 species